UUCCUACGGGACGCAGCAGUGGGGAAUACUGCACAAUGGGGGAAACCCUGAUGCAGCAACGCCGCGUGAGUGAUGACGGCCUUCGGGUUGUAAAGCCCUGUCUUCAGGGACGAUAAUGACGGUACCUGAGGAGGAAGCCACGGCUAACUACGUGCCAGCAGCCGCGGUAAUACGUAGGUGGCGAGCGUUGUCCGGAUUUACUGGGCGUAAAGGGAGCGUAGGCGGGUUUU
rnacentral:rRNA from 1 species